rnacentral:lncRNA from 1 species
UUUGUUAUAUUAAUACUCUAACCCUUUUUGCAUAUAUAGAAUUAACAUUCGUUGCUUUUUUAUAAUUUUAUUUCUACCUCCAAUUUAAAGAUCUAAUGGAAGUGAAAAGUGAGCGUAAAAGUCUUAUUUUUCAUAUCGCGUAUAAUAACGAUAUUCUUUUAUGUGAAACCAUCANUUAUAAAAGGUGGAUUUUUUUAAUACUUUUUUAUGCCUGCUUCCGGAAUAGCAGGUAUGAAUACCAACUUUUAUACCUGUUAUAGACAUAAUCAGUGUAAAAAGUUGAAAUUUUUAUACCGAUUUUAGAACCGGUGUGAAAAAUCAAAAAUUUUGUAUCCCCUCUCCCUUUAUACCCACUCGAAAACAAAUAUAAGAAGCCCUAUUUAACAUGGCCCAAUACAAAAUAGCCCCCAUUUAACAUGGUCCAAUACAAAAUAGUCCAUAGUAUAAAAGAAAAGCGCAGAGACUUAAUCUUGCAACUGCAUUUCCCAAUCCAAAAAUAAAAGAAUAGAAACAGCACAAUUUGUGUUUUGGUUACUCCUCCUCCUUCUCUCCGACAAGUCGCCUGGUCCGUUCUGGGACCUACCCAGCGUAGUCUUCAACGGAAUCGUGAAGCCCAUUCAAACCCUGGAAAUCAUAAAACGAUUAGGGCUUGGAAUUUUUCAUUUAUUUUCUGCAANNNNNUUUCACCUUUUAAUUCAUGUACUCUUCUUUUGUCUUUUUAUUUUGUUUCAAUAAAAUUUUCAGUAAUUGCGUAUUUUUAAUAAAAUUUACUUUAAGCCACUGACUGCUGCUGAGUAAUCUAUUAGCUGAGAAAAUAGCAUCGCAACCUGUGGGGAUAAGGCUUGCCUGAUCGGAACUCCACGUUGUCUUUGCCUCGUAACGAGUCUAUUGAAUGAUUAAUAACUUUUAUUCAUUUAGGUUGUUGAAUGUUAGUUUUUUUGUCCUUUCACAGCUGUAGGACAUUAUCUCCAUACGGUCGUUAAACUUGUCGAGAGAGCUGGAUUCAAACUGAAGGUAAAUUUUAAAUUUGAACAGAAUACUAUGGGAAUAUGAAAAGAGAUAAUUGGAAUCAUAGCUUUAGGAACAUUAUAUAAAAUACUGUGGUCUUGAGCUGUAAGAAUAUUACAUUAUAUUUAAUGAGGGAGAAGGCGGCAUGGUUGAUUGGUUUUGAGAGAA